rnacentral:lncRNA from 1 species
GAUUGCAUACGAAGGCAUGUCUCAUCUUCCUUUAUACAUUUGUUUGACCGGCUUCUUUUAAACUGUGCAUAACACCUCGGAAAAUAUAAAAGAUGUGUUUUUGUAUCAGCUUAUCUAACUGUUGCAUGAUUGCUCAUUGCUGACUUUGGCAAAAAAAAAAGCAAAAUCUUCAUGUAAUUUAUUUUUCAUACAAUUGGAAAAUCUGCUUCAAGAACACAUUAUAUAUUCUGCCUCUCUUGUACAGAUGUCUGCAGCAACAUUUCUAUUUUGUCAUGCAAACUGAGGCUUGAAUCCUAGUCCUAGAUGGAUAAAGGAGUAAACUUCAUCUUGUGAACUGAUACCCAACUGCUUUCCCUCUUCAUUCCACAAAGAUAGGAUUUGGCAAUCUGUUUCAACAAGCACCUUAGUCGUCGAUGAAACACUUGCAUAAUUUCUCAUGGCUCAAUCUAUUUUCUCACUAAUGACAUCUUGGGGGUCUACAACCUUACAAUAAGAGGAAAUGAAAUGAGUUCAUUCAUGUAAACUUGGGAAGAUAACUUCAAUAAUUAAUACAUCAGUGUGAACAAGGUACCUUGCCGACGUGCUUCUAACCAAAUAAUUGUUGGUUCAUUGUUGUAAACAAAGAGUAAUCCACAUGCAAGACAAUAUGAGAACUUUCAAAAAAAAUAUAUAUAUAUAUAUUCAUGAUUUUUUCAUAGAGCACUUGUACUAGUGUACUAAUAUUGUACCUUGAUUCGAAUUAAUGGAAGUUUGGGCUCUAAUCCACUGGUUGUUGGUUGACUACUCUUUUCAGUCAGAAUUCUUACCUGAAAUCAGUACUGCCUGAAAUUGAGGAUAACCCGUUUUUAUUUUCACAAAGGAAUUUUACCAGACUGAAGAAACUGGCAAACAAGACAUUAUCGAACCAUUCACACAGAGGCCACAUGCUUGCAGGAAACGGGACAACAUCUGGAAUUCUAGACAGAAAACCUGAAACUCGCAAUUUUUUGAAAUGAAAAUAGAGGCAAUAUCAUAAGAGUCGACAUCUGCUACAUCUGUACCGUCGACAGCGCCAAGCCCUAACGAGCACCGUCGUGUAGAGGAAUAGCUGAUGGGAAAGAGGUGGGGGGAAGGGUGAAGAGGGAUC